CUUUUUGUUUGACAGGAGAUAAUUAAAUCACUGUUUUCCCUCCAUAUUAAUUAGGGUUUUUUGCUGUACUUGUCAGGAUGUUGGUUCAAAGCCAACCAUUGAUUCAGCGGGGACACAAGGGGAGAAAUCGCUCAAGGGCCUCCAAUUCAUAGCAGAAACUAAAGAGUCAAUUGAAAUUGAUAAACAACUGACAAUGAGCAAAAAGAAAAAUGAUCUGGACAAUGUUUCUGGGGAGAAGCUCCCCAAUAUAAAAACAAAAAUACAUAGGUCGUAUCCAGUUGGUAUUUCUUGGGUCCGUGAUAUCAUGGGACCUGCAUUAUGAUUUUUUAUUGCCUUCAACUGUUAUCAAUUUUUUUUGCAUGGAACCUUUUUUUUCUUUUUACAUUCGUUCCAUGUCUCCACUUGUUUUACUGUAAAAAAAGUGAUUCAAGAUCCAUUUCCUCAGCCAUAAAGAGGAAAACAUAUUGACUGUAUAAUUUUGCAAUAUCAUGUCUUUCCAGGAUAAAGUGCUCUUUGUGUUUUGACAUUGUAGAUUCAUGCAAUCUACUCCUUGUAAACUUUUUCGGUCAGUUCUAAUGGACAUACAGAAAGCACUCUUAUUCUUUUUACUUUGUAGAGUCAUAUACUCUACUCAAGAACUGUACCUUUUUUUGUUAGCUCUGAUGGACAUUCAGAGAUUGGACUUGAAUGAUUGCUAACUUGUAGAUAUUGUGCCACUAGUGGCACCACAUAGUCCUGCCCUUCCAAGACUGUACUUGAUAAUGAUUUGUCGUCAAAGAUAUGUGAAAUGUAGCAGUUUCAUUCGUAAUUUGCAGAUAUGAAA